UUUUUUUUAGCAGAUUGGAGCAAGAGACACUCUUUUACAAGAGACAUGCUUCUACUUUGCUUAAAAAAAGCAAACUAUCCUGUGUGACUGUCUGGGAGGAGGGCUACAUGGAAGGAAACCCAGGACCCGAGGAUAGCUUCCAGUCAACAGCCAGUAAGAAGUCAGCACCCUCAGUCACAGAGCUGCAAAUGACUUCUGCCAACAACCUGAAUGAGCUUGAAAAUGAAUGCUCCCUAGUUGAGCCUUCACUUAGGACACAGCCUGACUGACAUGUUGAUUUCAGCCUUGACAUGAGGGGCCAGUUUACCUCUCUAGUCGGAUCUGCGGAGAUGCCCUUGAGGAUGUGCCUGUGUGGCAGGGAAGGCUGGAGAGAUGAGGAGAUGCACACACAGGGCUCUGUGGGGGCCUGAAACCAGAGAGAGCUGCGCUGAGAUGCUCAGCAUCCCUGGAGAUGAGGCUGUGCCCUAAAUAUACCCUUAGGAGAAUUACAGAGGGAACCAGUAUGUGCAAGUUUGCACCUUCCCUCCAGAGUGAAGGCUGGAAACUGGAGACCACAAGCCAGACUUGGUUGUAGAGGGAGACAUCUUGGUUAGCACGGUGCCGUGAGCAACUUGAAUGUCACUCCAGUCUGUCGUCAGCCCAUGUUUGUCAGAGUCUGGCUCAGUGGGCCCCACUCAGGCCCACUCACAGCCUGGAUCCUAGAGCCUGUGACCUUGCUUGGGAACCAGGAACACAGGCUGCUGAGGGCCAGAUGCCAUCCCCCGAGGCACCCUGGGAACAGAUGAUGCAAAGGAACCCAAGUCCUGAAGGCGCCACCUGGGGACAGAAGAUGGGAGACGGUUCUCCCCCACCAUACACACCCUGGUGCUGUGUAACCCGGGAUUAGGACAUUCAGCAAGGACAGCUUGUGUUCUCCACCAGCCAGGAAGAUCUGGAGCCAGGAGCCAGCAAGUAAUUAACCACUUCAAUCAAGUAACUUUUCUUUGCCCACUUGAGUUGGUGAGAGAAAAAAAUUAGAAGGCAAAAUUAAUAAUUUAUCAAGUUAUCUUAUUCCUCAUGCCGAAUGUCACCCAUCCAUUCAAAUGUCUAUCUUUUGUGGUCAUCUUCACCAUUAUUCACAGUCUUUGCUUUUAAUGAAUGAACUCAUUGAUCCAUCUGUUCUUUCAUCCAUUCAUUAAAACCAAGCACUUACUACCUGCCUGUGAUGAGGACUUGGGAUAAAAACAAGCAAACCACCAAAAAAUAAAAAUAAAAAAUGAGAAAGCACCCCAGCCUUGGUUGAAUCCACAGCCAGGGGGAGGAGAAAGUAUGAUCCUCAGAAACAGACUCAUCUCAUCCAUAGGUAGACACAUCCUAAAUCAUGACCAUUCUGCUUCUUCAUUUAGAAGUUACUUAUUUAUUAGCAUCUCAAUGUGAUGGGAGCGAACUGGGCUUCCCUGGUGACUCAGACAGUAACGAAUCCGCCUGCAGUGUAGGAGACCCAGGUUUGAUCCCUCGUCAGGAAGAUCCCCUGGAGAAGGGAAUGGCAACCCACUCCAGUAUUCUUGCCUGGAGAAGUCUGUAGACAGAGGAGCCUAAUGGACUACAGUCCAUGAUGUCUCAAAGAGUUGGACACAACCGAGCGACUAACACUUUCAGUUUCAGUGUGAUGGGGGUGAAUCAGCACAAUGGUCACUAUCUCUGACCCCCAGCUUCCCAUCAGAAGGACGUUGGGUAGGAAGGAUUAAAUCAGACCUGGUUCCUUUCUGCCUGAGCAACAGAGAGAGCCACAGUUAAUGGCUGGUUGCAUGUGUGUGUGUCUGUGAGAGUAUGUGUGUUAUGUAUGGUAAGUGUGUAAGAGUGAGUAUGUUAUGGGUAAUUGUAUCCAUUAUGCACAAAGUGUGUAAGAACAUGCACGUGUCAUGUGUAUAGAGGUGUUUAUGGAUUGGGUUGGCCAAAAAGUUCAUUCAGAUUUUUCCAUCAGCUGUUACAGAAAACCCAAACUUUUUGGGCCACCCUAAUAUUUUGUGCACAUACGUGUAUCAGGUGUGUGUGUGUGUGUGUGUGUGUGUGUAAGGUAUUAAUAUGAUGCCAAACCCGGGGAC
ensembl:lncRNA